rnacentral:rRNA from 1 species
AUUGAACGCUGGCGGCAGGCCUAACACAUGCAAGUCGAGCGGGGUUUUCGGACCUAGCGGCGGACGGGUGAGUAAUGCGUAGGAAGCUACCCGAUAGAGGGGGAUACCAGUUGGAAACGACUGUUAAUACCGCAUAAUGUCUACGGACCAAAGUGUGGGACCUUCGGGCCACAUGCUAUCGGAUGCGCCUACGUGGGAUUAGCUAGUGGGUGGGGUAAUGGCUCACCAAGGCGACGAUCCCUAGCUGGUUUGAGAGGAUGAUCAGCCACACUGGAACUGAGACACGGUCCAGACUCCUGCGGGAGGCAGCAGUGGGGAAUAUUGGACAAUGGGCGCAAGCCUGAUCCAGCCAUGCCGCGUGUGUGAAGAAGGCCUUCGGGUUGUAAAGCACUUUCAGUAGGGAGGAAGGGUGUUGUGUUAAUAGCACAGCAUUUUGACGUUACCUACAGAAGAAGCACCGGCUAACUCUGUGCCAGCAGCCGCCGUAAAAC